AAUGAACGCUGGCGGCAGGCCUAACACAUGCAAGUCGAACGGAUCCUUCGGGAUUAGUGGCGGACGGGUGAGUAACGCGUGGGAACAUACCCUUUGGUACGGAAUAGCCUCGGGAAACUGGGAGUAAUACCGUAUGUGGUCGAGAGACGAAAGAUUUAUCGCCAAAGGAUUGGCCCGCGUUGGAUUAGGUAGUUGGUGGGGUAAUGGCCUAUCAAGCCGACGAUCCAUAGCUGGUUUGAGAGGAUGAUCAGCCACACUGGGACUGAGACACGGCCCAGACUCCGACGGGAGGCAGCAGUGGGGAAUCUUAGACAAUGGGGGAAACCCUGAUCUAGCCAUGCCACGUGAUCGAUGAAGGCCUUAGGGUUGUAAAGAUCUUUCAGGUGGGAAGAUAAUGACUGUACCACCAGAAGAAGCCCCGGCUAACUCCGUGCCAGCCGCCGCCGUAA
rnacentral:rRNA from 1 species